AUACGGAGGGUGCAAGCGUUAUCCGGAAUCAUUGGGUUUAAAGGGUCCGCAGGCGGUCAAUUAAGUCAGAGGUGAAAUCCCGUCGCUCAACGACGGAACUGCCUUUGAUACUGGUUGACUUGAGUUAUACGGAAGUAGAUAGAAUGUGUAGUGUAGCGGUGAAAUGCAUAGAUAUUACACAGAAUACCGAUUGCGAAGGCAGUCUACUACGUAUAUACUGACGCUCAUGGACGAAAGCGUGGGGAGCGAACAGGAUUAGAAACCCCAGUAGUUCC
rnacentral:rRNA from 1 species